rnacentral:rRNA from 1 species
CCUACGGGAGGCAUCAGUGAGGAAUAUUGGACAAUGGUCGAAAGACUGAUCCAGCCAUGCCGCGUGCAGGAAGACGGCCCUAUGGGUUGUAAACUGCUUUUGUUUGGGAAGAAACCUUUCUACGUGUAGAAAGCUGACGGUACCAUACGAAUAAGCACCGGCUAACUCCGUGCCAGCAGCCGCGGUAAUACGGAGGGUGCAAGCGUUAUCCGGAUUUAUUGGGUUUAAAGGGUCCGUAGGCGGACUUAUAAGUCAGUGGUGAAAUCCUGCAGCUCAACUGUAGAACUGCCAUUGAUACUGUAAGUCUUGAAUUCGGCUGAAGUGGGCGGAAUAUGGCAUGUAGCGGUGAAAUGCUUAGAUAUGCCAUAGAACACCGAUUGCGUAGGCAGCUCACUAAGCCUGGAUUGACGCUGAGGGACGAAAGCGUGGGUAGCGAACAGGAUUAGAUACCCUGGUAGUCCACGCCGUAACGAUAGAUACUACGACAUUAGUCGAUACUACGGUUAGUUGUCAUAAGACGAAAGACGAUUAAAGUUAAAUUACCACCGUCGGGGUAGGGUUACGGUUCGGUUCGAAGAAAGUUAGAAACGUUACGAAAGGAAGUUAGACGGGCGUUGAGGACGUUGCCGACGGACGACCGACCGAGGGGAGGAGGAGG